rnacentral:lncRNA from 1 species
AUCAAUAAUAGGCUUUGAUGCUACAAAAUCUUAAUGCUUUUGAAAAGGUCAGUCUACCAAGUUGGAGCAGAGGAUGUGAACAUUUUGUGUGGACAUUCUUACAGUGAGUGAUCCAGUCAAGUGAUCCAGCCAAGCCUGUGCUAUAUACAAUUGCAGUUUAGACCUGAUAGAUGGAGAUAAAUUAUUUUUCGUCAUCAAGUUAUCUGAUUCCAACAUUUUGCUACAGUAACCUGAAUGUAACACACUCUAGUAUUUUUGAACUGCAAAUACAUAAUUUUAUGGGCUGUUCUGAAGAAAAAUCUUUCCUGGUAGAUAGAAACUGAGUGAGAGAAAAGCAGAUCUAUUUCUUUGGCACACAGCUCUCGGCUCGUACUUAGCUCCCUACUAAGGUGUGCUUCCUUGCAGAUAUCUGCCUUCCACUUCUGGGUCAUGUGCUCUUACAAUCAAUGUCCUCUCUUAGAGCACUUAUGUCCCUGGAGGAACCACAUCUGUAUUCUUCAUUCACUUGAUGCUUCAAUGUUUAAUGUUGGUUCUCCUUCUCUACUUGCUGAAGAAUAAGAUCACUCGGUCAACACUGAUAAAACACCACCAAUUACCCAAAUCCCUGGGUUAUUUCCAUAAUCUCGACAAUAAGUUUUAUGUUUCAAAGAAAGAGCAGUCAUACACCUCACACCAUGGGCUCUUCUUUUAUGUGACUUGGCUACUGUCCCAGGAAGUGAUGUUUAAUCUCUUUCUACUUGAACAAGAUGAGCCUGUAACUACUACUUCAACCAACACAGCAUGAUGGACGAGACAGUGGGACGUCUGAGGCUGGGCUUGAUAGUCUUCUAUGGUUCCUCUUUCUCAACCACUAGUAUCCAAGACGGUGCAAGACAUCACAAACCUCAAGUGCAGCAGUGCAGGAAAAACAAGAGAGAAGAGAAGGAAAGAGGCAGAGGAAGAAGCCAACCUCUUGGCAAUAUGAACCUCUCCUAAAUAUAAGUAAUAUAGCUGCUGGAAUCACAAAAUUAUUGCAGCAGAGAGAUGAUUCUAUGAGCUACUCCCAUCAGCCUGAUGCUUGCCUUGUGUGCUUGUCUCUACACUGACGGCCAUUGUAAUCAUCUUCUAUAAGAAAGGAGACCUGAGUUCAAUUCCCACAUCAGGCAUCUCACAAACAACUGCCUGUAUUUCUAGCUCCAAAGGAUGCAGUGUCUCUGGCCUCCUUCAGUAUAUGCAUCGGCAUACAUGUUUAAACACACAUCACCAAUCUACUUGAGAGACGAUGGACAUUGAAGAAACUCCACAUGGAGUUUAUUUUCUUUGUGACAAAAGUAAUCCACUGGGCAAGAAAGUGCCCUUGCCUUGACUGCUGACAAUAUGCUGUUCAAAUUGGACAAACAGGACAAAAAAGUGAGUGACUGUAAAACUAUGCUAAGACAAGGUGAAACAAUCCUUCAGAAAAUCCUGCUUCAUAGAAAAGUCUGUUGAAUAUUCUAGGCCUGUAGACUGCAGAUGGAUGCCCCAACAUUGCAGAGGAACCUUGGGUGACUGUCCAUGCAGCCAGCUGUUUCUGUCAUUUCUUACAGUUUUGGAAAUCGCUUCCUCAAACUUCCUGCUUACUCAGUUAAUAUUAUUUCCUUCUUGUGUCCCUAAGGGAGUUGAAGACUAGAUAGUUGUAGUUUUCCUUGUUUUCCAGACUCAGAAAAGAAACUCACUAAAGAGGUGUAAAGUGGAG